AUACAAAUCUAGAUAGAGUUGCUUUUAUAAAAUAUCAUCUUUCAAAAAUGUCUUAUACCCUGGGAUAGCAUUUAUACUGUAUAAAUCCAUAUGGAUGAAAUCUGAGACUCAAUUAUCUUCCCUUUGGGAUCAAUUGUAUUAAAAUCUUAGACAGUAGUGUUCCUGGGGUCACAGGUCAUUUAGCGCCUCACAUCUACCCUUUGAGGGUUAAAAAGAAAAGCAUUUCUACCAACGAUACUAAAGUUAAAAAAACGUAGAAUUUAUGAUGUUUUCCCUUUAAAACUAGAGAACAAAUAAUUUAUGACUGCUACAGGCCUAUAUUUUCAUUUCAGUGGAAUCUUAGUGUCCCCUACUGGUAUUCAAAAAAUGUAAAAUAUUAAUAAUAUUUUCUGGUUUUCUUUUUAGAGAAGUAUUUUCUAUUAUAGCAACAUGGAAAUCUUCCAAAAGCAUUGUUUUAUUAACCUGACCUUUGUAAAGUUGAGAAUGAAUGUGAGUUUAGGUUCUACCUUUAGGCAGAUUUUUGAAACCUAACUGAAGCUGCCAGUUAAACGCAAAGCAAUAUUUUUUAAAGUUAACU
rnacentral:lncRNA from 1 species